GUGCAGCUCAGUGGUACAGCUUGUGUUUAACAUGUACAAGGCCCUGGGUUCAAUCCCCAGCAC
rnacentral:tRNA from 1 species